GUCACACGGUGUGAACAACGGGCUGGACGAAGCUCCGACAGCGGCCGUCAGUCCUACUUUCCCGCCCAAGGCCGCCGUCACACUACGCUUCCAGGUUGCCUAGCAACACAACGGAAACACCACUACUGUGCGCAAUGACUCGGAUAGACCCGGAUCGGUGAUGCCCGACUUUAGCCAGCAUGAAGCAGCCACUCCACCCAAUCCAUGGCCUCCUCACCUGAUCGUUGGAAGCAUCGCUAAGCCAGUCAUAGCUAGGCUGCAGGAUUUCGAGUUUUGACAACAGACAUAAAUCCAAGAUGUGGUUGGUUGGUUGGCGUGCAGUCCCACCACAGGCAGACCCUUACCAAUGACAAUCUCCGCACAGCUGAUCCAAUCCUCUCUGAGCUCCUGUGACUGUCUGAGGCCUUACUCCUGGACAAACUUCUGCACAAAAGAUGUGAAAUCGAUCAUUUAUGUGAGAAAUUUUAACAAUAAAAAACGUAAGCACAUUAUCAAGUUGUUUAAUGGAUAGAUCCUCUCCGUCACCCAAAAAUUAAAGUGUAACUGUCAUUUCAAAUAAAUUUGCAUAAAUCAAUAGUUUAAGCAAAUAUAAGACACUGUACUACAUGUUUUCAGAGAAAAAAGUUUUUUUCUCCACACCCAAGGAUACUUUCCUCCCUCUCCAAC